GACGAACGCUGGCGGCGUGCUUAACACAUGCAAGUCGAACGGAAAGGCCCUGCUUUUGUGGGGUGCUCGAGUGGCGAACGGGUGAGUAACACGUGAGUAACCUGCCCUUGACUUUGGGAUAACUUCAGGAAACUGGGGCUAAUACCGGAUAGGAGCUCCUGCUGCAUGGUGGGGGUUGGAAAGUUUCGGCGGUUGGGGAUGGACUCGCGGCUUAUCAGCUUGUUGGUGGGGUAGUGGCUUACCAAGGCUUUGACGGGUAGCCGGCCUGAGAGGGUGACCGGCCACAUUGGGACUGAGGUACGGCGCAGACUCCUACGGGAGGCAGCAGUGGGGAACAUUGCACAAUGGGCGGAAGCCUGAUGCAGCAACGCCGCGUGCGGGAUGACGGCCUUCGGGUUGUAAACCGCUGUCGCCUGUGACGAAGCGUGAGUGACGGUAAUGGGUAAAGAAGCACCGGCUAACUACGUG
rnacentral:rRNA from 1 species